rnacentral:lncRNA from 1 species
CGGAUUGUUGUGGUAGCCCUAGGGUAGUGACAGCCCUAUCGGUCGACGUAUUCCACCUCGUUCGGAUCUGUGUUUGUAGGACCGUAGUCGGAGCUUCCUAGCCCCCUUCUCAUCUCUUUCUGUGGUUAGUGUUCUGAUGUCCCGAAAUAGAUAAUCUUGAAGUAAUUCUUGAUUCUUAGAUCAACUAGAGAACUCUCAGGAAACUUCCUCUCUUCCCACCAAAAAUACUUAUAUAGUUAUCCUUGGGCGAUCUUGAUUCUUAAUUAGUACAAUCACAUUCUCUGUGGAAAAUCGAUACUCUGGAAUACUCCUGGGUGAAGGCUACAUCGGUAUCCGUGCGCGUGCGGAUUUUUCUGUUUGCGUUUAAAAUACCCAACAAUCAUUUACCCAUGGAUCCGAUGGAUAAACGCUAUACGAUCCUAAGCAUGUAUAUAGAUCCAAUCUAACUAAGCCAAGUACAUAACUAUGAUAAACUGAGAACAAUAUAAUCUUGAAUAUAAGCAAGUAGAGCAAAGACAUAAGCAAUAUAUUGAAGGAGAACAAAAUCAUAUUCAUAAUAUUGAAGAACAAAGAUAAUUAGAAGAACAAUUAGAAGCACAAUUAGAGAAUUACCAAGAAUCCUCUUGACAGAUCCGGAAACUAAUCGAAGAUUGACUCCUUCUAGUUCUAAUCCUAUGUAGCUAUGCUAAUCUAGAUAUCUAAUUGAUGCGGUGGCUCUAAUCUUGAUCAGAGGCUUCUUCUCCCUUGAAGAACAAUGAAUUAGGGUUGAGAGGCUCUCUCCUCCAGGGGCCAGGGGGUCUGGUUUUAUAGUCCCUUCAAGUGAAUAUGGGCCGUUGGAUCAAACUGACAUAGAUUGAACGGUUAUCCUUGAUCCUUUAGGUCAGUGGAGAUCUCCUGAGAAACAGAGUCCUGAUUGGACUCCAACAGAGGGCGGGCGCCUAGGGAAACAUGGCGGGCGCCCUACCUCUGGCCCCGUUCGGCCUUCGCUUCCUUCCCGUGGCUUCUGGAGUCUUCUAGAUGUAAGAUAAUUGCGCGGCACGUUAAUAUCUCUAUGUAAUCCCGACGUGUGGGCCUUUCUUCUGUAUUUUCUGAUAACCCCCUGCAGAAAUAGACAAACACCAAAACUCGUGGAAUUCUGUCAGAUAAAACCCUAAGUCUAGAUGUUGAUUUCAUUUGAAUCCUUUUCUUUGUUUAUUUGAUAAUUAAAUUUGAUACUUAAGGACCGUCAACAAACUCCCCCAAGUUUACCUCUUGCUCGUCACUAAGCAAGGAUAGUCUCAGUGAUGGAUUAGAAGUUGCAGCAAUACUUUUAAAAAUUGACGGUACACAUGCUUUUUUAAAUAAGAUCUCAUCUCUAAGUUAGAGUAAACUGUCAAGACUUAAAACUUACUUACUUUACCUUUCACCAUGGGACUUGUAACCGUCACUUCCAUCUUGAGUAGUUAAAAGAUAGAACAGUCUAGCCAAGUGCCAUGUCUCUUAUUCUUGAUCAGCUAUAGCUCUGGAGUUUUUGCAGAUUUUCAAAUAAAACUCAGAGAUUCCUUGUAUGACUCUCUUAGAUCUCUCUUUUGUGGUAUUUUUGGAUCCUUACCAAGGCAUUGAUGGUAUAUGCCUUCUCUCAAGAUAUGUAGUAUUUGUGGUAUAAGGCAUAGUGACAUUGCCUUCUCUCUCACCCUACUCUAAUAAGGCUUUAAUAUCUGGAGCUCAUAGGUGGGAGAUAAAGAAUACAUACUUACAAGACAUUUAUUGCAUAGUCAAACCAUGGAUCCAAAGAAACAAAUCAAUCAGUCAAAUCAAGAUGUGCAUGUGUGGCGAAUGAAUAGUGUGUGAUGACGAUGGUGAAAACAAAGGUGAAAGUCUAAUUCUACUUUUGCUCUUUUGAGGGGAUACAUACCUUUCUUGCUCUUUGAAACUUGUGAGGAGUAUGAGAUGCUCUAUAUUUUUCUUUUCUCUCAGGUGGGUAUCUUGUACCUCUGAUUCUACUGUCGGACACUUUUUCAUUUUUACCUCUUGUCUCACUUUUUCUUUUCUUUCGAGGUUCCGGGCACUUGCCCUUUUUGUUUCCUCGUAUCUUUUUUUUUCUCUUUUUUUUAGAGCACUCAUCUCUUGAGAUAAUAUAGCAAGUGGUAGUAACAAGAUAACUUGAGCAUUUAUUUCACAGGGGAAAAACAGAAAUAUAUUUUUUUUUGCUAUUCUCUCCCGAAUUAGGAGUAGACUAUUUUUGGAUGAUUCUGGAGAUGGAAAUGAGUGGAUAUAUGUGGAUGGUACUUCCGGAGUAGAAGUAGCAUAUAUGAGUGAACGUGCAAGUGAAAUCUUGAUUUAACCACAUGACAAGCUCCUAAGGGUCUACACAGCUUGACCACACUCAAUGCUCAUAAGCAGUAAAUAAUAAAUGUUUGGCUCAAAGUCUAGCAAGCAUGUAUAUAUGGCUGUGGUAGGAAUUUAAACUCUCAUCAUACAGGAACACAUCAUGCAAUAUUUUAAUGAUUUUCAAAGAUAAAAUUCUCCAGAAUUCUAGCAUCUCUAGGAACAGAUAAACAGCAGCUCAACCUUCCCAUAUCGUAUCCGUUAACAACUUGGACUUCAGAUCAAGUUUUCAUCCCACAAGUUAAGGUCUAGAGCAAGCUUUAAAUUAUAACAGUUAUAUCUAAACUUGAGAGAGAACUUCAAAUUUUAAAAUUAGGCAGAGCAACUAUUCAUCAUAUCCAUGCUAGAGUUCUAUUUAGAUACAGAUUAGCAUAGCCACUUUGUUUAUUUAUUAAACACACUAAGCAAAAGAUAUAUAUAAGCUCAAAAUCUUUAUUUGGUUUUUCAUAGUUUAUGUAUAUUUAUAUUCUAAUAUAAUAUAAGUGUAAAGAUAGAUAGAAAUACUUAUCGAGAUAAGUGGGGGUGCUCUCCCCCAAGCUGAAUUUUGACGUAAUUUCUCUUGAUGUAGCUAGCAGGUGGCAGAGUUGUAUUUGAAAGUCAGCAGCAUUCUGACAGUGAUUAGAACAUCCUCCGUCUGCUAGUCUUCUUGAUUCUUGAAUUCUGUGGAGCUCAAAUAGACAACAAAGCUUGUGGAACUGAUUAAGUGUUAGCAUAAAUAUCUAGCCUUUAUCAUGUUGAGACUCCUUAAUAAAUAUUACUCCCUGUUUUUAUAUUUUCGUUUUGUAAAGCAGAAAAGAAAUAUUUAUUUUAUUUUUAUGCCACCACAGUGAAUGUACUUAUGGGUUUUAUGCCACUCGUAUACUCACAUGGGGCUUGCUGUCUUUAACAUUUUUAUUUUCUUUUUAGGAUAGUAUGAACCUGAUUAACUAAGCAAACUGUUUAAAAUAAUUGAAAGGGAAAGAAUAAUUACCAAGUUUACCUCUUGGCAAGGCGUUCGGUGUUUUUAAGUCCUCCGAACAUGACUCUUCUCUUUCUCAAUUGUCCUGAGGUUCGUUGGGUGGCGUAGUCGGUACUUCCGGCGGCGCCUCCUCUUCAUGUAUAGUUAUCUUCUCUUUCCAUACCUGACUCAGUGCUACGGUCUCCUCUGAAUAAUUCUGUUUAAACUCUACGUCUUCUGACCUUACAACUUCUCCUUCAUAAUGUUGACGGUCCUUAAGUAUCAAAUUUAAUUAUCAAAUAAAUAAAGAAAAGGACCCAAAUGAAAUCAACAUCUAGACUUAGGGUUUUAUCUGACAGAAUUCCACGAGUUUUGGUGUUUGUCUAUUUCUGCAGGGGGUUAUCAGGAAAUAUGGAAGAAAGGCCCACAUGUUAGGAUUACGUGAAGAUAUUAACGUGCU